AUGUGCAAAUAUAAAGCAUGUGAGCGGGUAUGCCCGUUGUACGUGGAGCCAGGAAGGAGGCGGGGCAGCCAUCCGCUGGUUUCUCCUGCCUGCCUCUGCAAACUACUCUGGUUACCCGGCCUCCACCGCAGGCCCUUGGCAGGGGCGGUGCGCUGGGUCUGCGCGGUGCUGGCAGCCGCAGAGUGGAGGGUGAACCCGAUGGCCUCUUCAGUCUAUUUAGCAGGCUCUGAGAUGUAUUGUUGCUCCGUUUGCCCCGCGCUGCUCGGCGCCUCAUCUCUCCGCAUCCAGACGCGCAGUUUCUCACCUCCAGAGAGCAGCAGAGAUCUCGGGCAGGCUGCUGCGGCUAAUGGUGGCAAUUAAUAACUUGUCAUAAUCCGGAGGAUGAAAGGGAAGGCGCCCCAUCAGCAGGCGGGUCAUGGCGCUGCUCGCAAGCAAAUGAGGUGCAGGUGUGGCCUCCACUACGCGCUGACACCGGGUGCGCGGUGCCAGCCCGGGACCCGCGGGCCGCUGGCCGCUCCCCGGGCGCGCACGGCCCCCGCCCGGUCCACCCCGCUGCGGAGAAAUCUCCGGAACGUAUCAAUAAAUCAGAGCGCUCGGCACAGACCUUCCCAACACUUAAUUGCACCUUGAACGCUGUUAACUCUGCCAGGCCCUACUCGUCUGAGGUUUUUACCCCCCAGACUUGCAAAGAAUUGCACACCUCACACACCCCCGCCCCCCCAUUAUUAUCCCCGUGUCUACCCCGUGCAAACACUGCAACCUUUGAAAGUGAACGUGGUAAAUAAACAGCCAGCUGCUGAGCCCGAUCUGGUGGGCUCUCGGUUCCCCCAGUGGAGCUGGAGCACGUGAAAUCCCCGUUAGGGUUUAAGGAAACCGCAAAACACAGAAUCACUUAUUUUCCGACAGCCCCAGCCCGGUUGCCUCUUUUCUUGUUUCCAUUCCUGUGGGUCAGUUCUGCUUGAAAUGAACCAAGUUUACAAAUCUCUUCUGGUUUGUACACUCCUAUUAUGCAUACGAGGUGAUGCAUUUGUAACUGUCACACAAGUCAGGGUGAUACAGCACUCUCAUCUGACCCUAUUCAUUUAAAUGGGUGCGUCUUGAUGACAUUGAUUCAUGUUAUAAGUUAUAUCCAUGCAUUAUAAUCUUUAUGUGUCACCCCACUGGUUAUUUCUACUACAGAAGCUGGGGGGGGGGGUGGUUUGCAGUUGCAGCAAAUGAUGGUGAGUAGGAUUUGAGAGUGCUUUGAACAAUAUGAAGUCCAUAUAAACUCCAAAGCUUUCUAGAUAAGUUUAUUACAUGUCCCUAUCUUGAGAGAAGGAAAUUUACAUGCAGAACAGUCCUGGGAGAGGUGUCUUUUGCUGUAAAUAUUCUGCUGACUAACUUAUUAAUAUUUGGAGAGUGUGUGCUUCAAAUGCAUUUCGCACCAAAGUAAAGGGGUAAGUAAACAUGAUUAUGCAUGCAUGUAAGUCUUUAUCAAGGUGGGGUUAAUAAUGUUUUAAAGCAGAACUAUUUCUCAUGAAAAUAGCUGCUCUUAAUAGCCUCUGUCUCUUUAUUGUGCUUCUUACUGAAACAUAAAUCACUAAUAUGUUUUCAGCAGCAAAGUACUCUCUUUUCCCAUUGUAUUCACAGAUUUAGUGGCAUUUCAAAUAGAUAAACACAAGCAACAUCUAUCAACACUACAAAAAGGGCGCCUUAAUCAAAGCUCCAGGUCCCGGGUCUCAGCAUCUCCAUUUACCUUGAGAUAAAUCCAUUGGUGUGACCACCACUGCACCGGGUGACAAAUCACCCCAGCCGGCCGAGCAGCGCAAGGGCUUAUUGGCCUUCCUUUAAGUGGUCUUACCCUUCAAUGAAAAGGAUGGGGCUUGUCAAGCAGGACCAGAUUAAAGUUAGACAAAAAGAAAUGAUCUGUUAUUAGAAAACUCCGAUUGAGAAUCACAAAACAGGAAAGAAAUAUGAAUAAAAAUUUCCAGGGGGAAGACCAUCUGAUCCCAACAGAAAUUAACUCCCAUUAUGGGCGUGAGGUAAUAGAUGGCCUGCAGUUGGAGCUAAUGGGGAUUUCAGAUUAAGGUGUGGGGGCACGGCUGGGGAGGGGGGAGGGUGUUCGCAGCUGCCCUGCACAUUCAAGAGCAAAGUUCAGGAAUGACCUGGGCUCCUGGCUUCCUGGGAUAGGUUGUGGUUCAGGUGGGGCAAGGAAAUUACAGGCUCUUAGAAGCGAGGGCUCACUCGUGAUUGCCUGGGUCCUUCCCAGAAGGGUAACCCUGGCAGGAACCCCAGGGGCAGGUUGAUUUCCCUAUGUCUGAGACAAGGAGAAACUGAAAGCUUCAUGUAACUUGCCCAAAGGUACACAACUAAGGGCAGAACUGAAGUCACUCGGGGAGAAAGGAGAUGAUCGGGCUGCUUCCAGUUCACUGGGACUCCAUUAUUUGGUCUGAUUUUGGGAGAUGAGCUUACUCUGCCUCUGGAUUUAAAGACUUAGAUUAUCUUCCCAAUUAACAGGGGGAAAAGAAAACAGAAUGGGGCCUCUGUAGUCAGCGAGCCUUCUUAGAGUCGUCUUGAGCCAAAGCCUGAUGCUUAUACAAAUAACAGUAGCUAAAGCUUUGCGGUUCUUACUGGGUGCCAGGUACUGUCUGUGCAUUAUCUCAUUUGAUCCACAGAUAGCUACUUUCAUCAUCAUCCCCAUUUCACAGAGGAGAAUACGGAGACCUAAAGAAUUUAAGCAACUUGCCCAAGGUUGACUAAUAAAUGGAGGAGUUUGCAAAAUGGCUUAAAGACUUAAAUUAUAAGACAAGACACCAUCAAACUCCUGGAAGAGAACAUAGGCAAAACACUCUCUGACAUCAACCUCAUGAAUAUUUUCUCAGGUCAGUCUCCCAAAGCAACAGAAAUAAAAGCAAAAAUAAACCAAUGGGACCUAAUCAAACUAACAAGCUUUUGCACAGCAAAAGAAACCAAAAAGAAACAAAAGACAACUUACAGAAUGGGAGAAAAUAGUUUCAAAUGAUGCAACUGACAAGAGCUUAAUUUCUAGAAUAUACAAGCAACUUACACAACUCAACA
rnacentral:lncRNA from 1 species